rnacentral:rRNA from 1 species
AUUGAACGCUGGCGGCAGGCCUAACACAUGCAAGUCGAGCGGAAACGAGUUAUCUAAACCUUCGGGGAACGAUAACGGCGUCGAGCGGCGGACGGGUGAGUAAUGCCUAGGAAAUUGCCCUGAUGUGGGGGAUAACCAUUGGAAACGAUGGCUAAUACCGCAUGAUGCCUACGGGCCAAAGAGGGGGACCUUCGGGCCUCUCGCGUCAGGAUAUGCCUAGGUGGGAUUAGCUAGUUGGUGAGGUAAGGGCUCACCAAGGCAACGAUCCCUAGCUGGUCUGAGAGGAUGAUCAGCCACACUGGAACUGAGACACGGUCCAGACUCCUACGGGAGGCAGCAGUGGGGAAUAUUGCACAAUGGGCGCAAGCCUGAUGCAGCCAUGCCGCGUGUGUGAAGAAGGCCUUCGGGUUGUAAAGCACUUUCAGUCGUGAGGAAGGUAGUGUGUUUAAUAGAUGCAUUAUUUGACGUUAGCGACAGAAGAAGCACCGGCUAACUCCGUGCCAGCAGCCGCGGUAAUACGGAGGGUGCGAGCGUUAAUCGGAAUUACUGGGCGUAAAGCGCAUGCAGGUGGUUUGUUAAGUCAGAUGUGAAAGCCCGGGGCUCAACCUCGGAAUAGCAUUUGAAACUGGCAGACUAGAGUACUGUAGAGGGGGGUAGAAUUUCAGGUGUAGCGGUGAAAUGCGUAGAGAUCUGAAGGAAUACCGGUGGCGAAGGCGGCCCCCUGGACAGAUACUGACACUCAGAUGCGAAAGCGUGGGGAGCAAACAGG